UACGGAGAUGGCAAGCGUUGUUCGGAUUUACUGGGCAUAAAGCGCACGUAGGCGGAUCUACAAGUCGGUUGUGAAAUCCCAAGGCUCACCCUUGGAACUGCGGCCGAUACUAUAGAUCUAGAGCAUGAAAGGGGAGAGUGGAACUUCUGGUGGAGCGGUGAAAUGCGUAGAUAUCAGAAGGAACACCGGUGGCGAAAGCGACUCUCUGGUUCAUUGCUGACGCUGAGGUGCGAAAGCUAGGGGAGCAAACGGG
rnacentral:rRNA from 1 species